rnacentral:rRNA from 1 species
UGGGGAAUAUUGCGCAAUGGGGGGAACCCUGACGCAGCCAUGCCGCGUGAAUGAAGAAGGCCUUCGGGUUGUAAAGUUCUUUCGGUAUUGAGGAGGGUUGAUGUGUUAAUAGCACAUCAAAUUGACGUUAAAUACAGAAGAAGCACCGGCUAACUCCGUGCCAGCAGCCGCGGUAAUACGGAGGGUGCGAGCGUUAAUCGGAAUAACUGGGCGUAAAGGGCACGCAGGCGGUUAUUUAAGUGAGGUGUGAAAGCCCUGGGCUUAACCUAGGAAUUGCAUUUCAGACUGGGUAACUAGAGUACUUUAGGGAGGGGUAGAAUUCCACGUGUAGCGGUGAAAUGCGUAGAGAUGUGGAGGAAUACCGAAGGCGAAGGCAGCCCCUUGGGAAUGUACUGACGCUCAUGUGCGAAAGCGUGGGGAGCAAACAGGAUUAGAUACCCUGGUAGUCCACGCUGUAAACGCUGUCGAUUUGGGGGUUGGGGUUUAACUCUGGCGCCCGUAGCUAACGUGAUAAAUCGACCGCCUGGGGAGUACGGCCGCAAGGUUA